UUCACCCUCUCUCUCCCUUCCUAUACCCGACCCCCUCUCUCUUUUCUUCCCAUUUUGCCCCUUCCUCCUUUCCUUGUUUCCGAGGAGGGCCAACCACAUAUGCUAAACAAGGAAACUAAAUUCUAACCUCCUUCAGAUCUACACCACCCUUCUCUUUUUUUUCCAGUUUCAUAAAUUCUACACCAUGGGCACGGAGGUUCUACGGCCACAAGAUUGUUUCACCCACCGCAUCGCUGUUCCACCGGCGGGGUUUUCCCGGAGAAGAACCUCUGGGACACACAACAACAAUUACUUCAGGGGCACGCGGAAGCCGGUUACCCGACCCGAACAGAGAAAACGGGUUGUGGAGAAAAGGCCCAGCUUCGAUGAUUCGAGGUUUUCGAGGUUGGAGAUGGAGAAGGUCACCAUUCUCCGGAGGGGGGAGUCGCUCGAUUCGAAGCUGAAAACCGGGGCUUUGAAGAAGGAAGGUGACAAUUUGGUCGUCGUUGGUACCCAGAGGCUCGGACCUGACCCGGAUAUGGUUCAGAAGCAGAUCCGGAUCGUGGAUUUCAGGUCCGGACGCCAGGUUUACGCCGGAUCGGCGUUCUCGGUGUCGCCAUCGCCGACCGCGCUGCCCUUGCCGUCGUUUUCGAAGAAGCAGCCGGCGGUUGCGGUUGCCGACUCCGCGACCCGUGAUCUCAGGCGUCUUCUUCGGCUUGAAUGAGCCGAUUCGCGUCCAUUUCUGGGUUUCGGGUCCCAAUUUUAACCUACCUUGGCUUCCUUUCUUCGUUCUGUUCAUUAAUCUAGAAUCUUCUGCUUCUCCGUUACGCUCCCUCUGAUUUUGGAGUCCUGACCUGACCGUGAUUUUUUUAAACGGGAGGGCGGAUCUGGAAUUGGGGAAAGUUUGGGGGCCAAAGUGUUAAUAAAAGAAGUUUGGAUUAGUUUAUGACAUCUUGUAAGAUUGUAAGAUCUUGUGGUUGUUGUGGUGGAGGUUGGUUGUUAAGGGCAAGUUUAGGUUGUAAUUUCAGAUUAGAAUGGAGAAAAUAAAUAAACUAAAAGUAAAAAAAAAAAAGAAGAAGAAAGAAGGGAGGGAGAUGGGGUGUUUGAUUUGUAAAAUUUCCGGAAGUGUAUUAUGGGGUUGUUAAUUAUGUGGGCUAAAAAGGGAUUCUGCUUGUAGGUCUGUGUACCCACCCUUUUGUAAUGUAAAGUGAAAAAAUUAAAAUAGGGAAAUUUGGCCAGAUUCAGAUUA